CACGUUCCCCCGACUUUGCUCCCUCUUUCUCUUUGCUUUCUGUGAGAUCCUCCAUUCCUCCUCCCCCCUUCAUUUUCGAACCUCGCCUCAAAACCACCCAUUCAGGUUCUCCGAUCAAAAUAUUUCGUCGGCCUCUAUUCCUCUAUUGUGAUUCCGGCAUCAAGACCUCCCAUAAGAUAUGCAGAAAGAUGAAUGACACAAAUACGAUUGUGGCAUUAAUGCUGAGAUUCGUGAAAUUAAAGGUCGAUUAUUUGAAGAAGUGCAGAAAAUGAAGCAAUUAGCUCCAUUCCUAGAUUAUCGCCCGGUUUGAUGCGUUUGUGGCCCAAAAGCAGGUGUCCUCCUCAUUAAGAAGAAAACCAGCAGAAGGCUUUGCAUAGUCGACUUUUGUCGUUCAAUUGAGAUGCUUCAUGGUGUUAUUGGUGUUAUUGAUGAUAGUGUCCUGAAUCAAGGUGGGGAGAUUGUGCUCGAGCAUCUGGGAAAAGAGGUAGAUUCCAUACAUUUGGGCAUAAAUUUGGACUCUGGUUUAGGAGUUUUUAAUGCCUUUUUCACAAGUUUAUGUAUGAUACUUGUGAGUGAGGUGCCGAGGUUUGUUCUCUGGCCAUUACUGUAAGAAUAUUUUACGGUUGAACAUCACAUAUCAUCAUCAGCUUAUAUUACUAUUUCACUCUUACUUCUCUCCAUCUUCUCAACCAGUUUCGCAUCCAGUGUCACAUCCAAUUCCCUGCUAAGUUUAUCUUUAUGUACUUAUGUAGAGCUUAAUAGCUGACGAUUUUGUGAUAGAUUGGAAAUGAGACGUUUUCAUAGCAGCUCUAAUGGUAAUGCGUCAUCCAAAGUCCAUUAUAUUUUCUAGGCCCCUGAGUGCCUUGGUUGUUAUGACAGUAACUUUUCUAUGUAGAUUUUUCUUUUGCUAGGGUGAUUUUUGCUUAUUCUUGUGCUUUUGUUGCUCUGCUAUGCUAUUCUUUGAAACCAUAUACACUUGUAUUAUUAGAGAUAAUGUUCUGUGGAUUGGUGAGGCUCAAUAAAUUCAUUCUUGUCAAUAGGUUUUCUCCACUGGACUUGGUAGGAUAGUUCUAAAUUUGAUAUCGAGGAAGCAUAAAAACAGUGCGGCUACAGUUCUUUAUCUAUUUUUGGUUUGUGUCUGCUUUACAUUGCUUGGAGGUCUGAUCCUAAAGCAUCCCAGAAGAAGGAGAUGCAGGAGGUAUGUCAUUGUUCUUCUCUCUUCUAAAAUAAUAAAUUGAAAAGCUAAAAUAGUAAAUUGAAAAGCUAAAUCUCUUUGAGAGUUAAUUGUAUUAGAUACACGUAUUUCAAAAAGAAAGUUCUGUGUUGCAAAUCACCUAUAUUAUGUUCAAUUAUGUCCUCUUAAGUACACUUGUCGAAACUACUUGCACUUGUAUAGCUCGAGUUUGGAAAAAGAGCUAGAAGCUGCUGGACUAGAUAGAAGCGGCAACAGGAUACCUCACGUUUUAUCACGAAGCUAUAGUAUAUUAUCAAAUAGGAUCACGCAUAAUCCCGGGUAUAUUUCAAAUUUGAUGCAGUAGGAGUUGACAGCCCAUGUUCCAAAGUAUUGCAGGAUAAGGAGAUGGGAAAUCAUAUUUGUGUAUAUUUUCUAUUAAUGUUUCUUACAAUACUUUCGACAAAAGGCCAUUCAUUUUCAUGGGGCUGGUUUUCGUCUUCCUCCCACCGAUCAUCAUCAUCAUCUUCUUCUAGCAGUCACCAAUAUUCAAAGAAUACGGAUAUGAAUGGUUUGGUUGCAGAGUUUUCUAUAGAAGCCUUGGAUGAUCCAAAAGCAGUUGAGCUACUUGAGAACACGAGGAUGAAGUUGGGAGGAUCAAAUCCUUGUUGGUUUUACGCGUAUAAGAACUUGUUUUCUUCGUGCUCUGAGAUUUUUGCUGCAGAGGAAAAGAGAAGUAGGCUCGCUUGGCUUCUGAGUGAUUGUUUCCAAAGAGAUUCUGGGGGGGAUCCUUUUCCUUCUUGCAAUGUGGAAAGUAGAGUUAUUCGAAGGACAGGGGUUGAUGAAGGAGAGAAUGGAAGAAAGUAUUUCAAGAGUAGAAGCAUCUUACAGUCAUCUUAGACAAGAAAUCGAUGUUUUGCAGAAGAAGGCAACUGAAGUUGAAAAGGAGGUUACUGGACUUGGAGAGGAAUUGUCUUCAAAGUUGAAAAAUCUUCAAGGUAAAGCUGAUGAUAUUGCUGAUAUGGUUGGUGUUUCAAUACAGAAGCAGCAGCAACUUCUUGCAAGCGAAUCUGAGGCGCUUCUGGGUAUUCAGUCCCUCACUGAUUUUCAAUCUAAAGCUCUUCAAGAGAGCAGGGUUACUUUACAGCAGAUAGUAGGAUUUGCACAAGGGCAACACCAAGAACUAAAGCAACAGCAGGAACAUCUACUGAAGGCUCACAACCUUUUGGCUAUCAAUUCCUCUUAUUUAUCAAUCUUGUACGAGGAUAAUGCUUACGUGGAACAAUGCCAAUAAUGGAUUGAGUACCGGGAUGGUCCUGUAAUCUUUUCUUCGGAAUUGAUCAAUGAUUAUCUUUGACUAUGACUGUUCUUUGGACAUGUGGUGCCUUGACUGCAUGUUUGCUGGAAUGAUUCUCAAGGGGAUUGUACUGCAGAUACUAUGUCUGUGAGGAAAAGGCUCUGGUGAGUACUCUCCGGCGAACCUUAGUUAUUGGCAAGACCUCCUUAGUCGCCGGCAAGCCAUACAGUCUCCCUGCCAAUUGGUAUAAGCCGGUAAAAAGCUAUUCGAAAUUGGUCUAAGAUGGUCUUGUCAGGAGCUUUGAUAGAACGCCUCAGUCCUGCAAUUUUGGAUCUGGAAGAAAUACCGAGGUUUUUUAAAAUUGUAAGACAUGAUUAAUUGUUGUUGUACUGUUGUUAUUCUUUCUCAUUAUGUUGACUAUGAAUUUUUAACACAGUUUUCGGUUUACAUGCAUCUUCUAUAACUCUAUACAUGCUAUGAGGCGGUGAGCUUUUGUGUGACGGAGUUGUAUUCGCUUUUUUUUUAAUAUAGAGAUAAGGGAAUCAAAUAGAUUAAUGUGAAUGCAUAAUUGAAAUAUAUUACUGUGUAUUAUUUAACAUCUUGAAGAAAAAAAAAGGAAUAAAGCUAUCUCUUACUCUGAUUUUCUGUUUCAGCUUGGCACCCAAAAUCCAAACCGAUUCAAGUGUGUUCCACAAGGAGGAAAUAAAACAUUGUUAGGUGAACCAAAGCCUCCUCUAUGCAGAGAUCUUGACGCUUGCUAAGGUGGAAUCUGUAGGAUGAAUGCUUCAAAUAACGUGAUGUAAUCUGUGAAACUGAAGCGUUUUGUCUUUCUAUUUCGAUUAUGAUAUUUCUCCAUGGCAUCUUGACAAACCAUGGCAGGAUUUCUACCUUCUAAAUGGCCUCAGAAUCCAUUUGUUGCGCGAUGAUUUGAAUGGUGCCAAAGACCUUACUAAUGCCACACUGAAAGAUGGUUACAGAGAUAUGAUGAAGUUGGCAGAAAAUGGUGCGGCUUUUAAUCAGCUUCUGAAGUAUGCACACUUUUGCCCAAUUUUCUCAGUUAAAUCUGAUCCUAGGUCCUGGUGGAAAUACUACAAGGCUGUAUCAGAUCAAAUGAAGAAGGCUAGGUUUGGGAUCUUCAUACCUUUUUCUUUUCUUUUUCGGCUUGUUUCUCUUUGCUUCAGUAGCAAUUUCACUUUCGGCAUUCUGCUACUUCCUGUCUUGGAUCUUUCAUCUCUCUGGUUUUGUAGCAUACACCAUUUUCUUUACCUGUCAUAUUCUAUUUUCAUUUAGAGCAUGUUAAUUCAUAAUUACAUGGGGAUUGAAGUAAGGAUUUUGUUUAUAACUUUUGAGGUAAA